AUUGAACGCUGGCGGCAGGCCUAACACAUGCAAGUCGAACGAGUGGCGGACGGGUGAGUAAUGUCUGGGAAACUGCCUGAUGGCGGGGGAUAACUACUGGAAAAGGUAGCUAAUACCGCAUACCAUCGGAUGUGCCCAGAUGGGAUUAGCUAGUAGGUGGGGUAAAGGGUCACAUAGGCGACGAUCCCUAGCUGGUCUGAGAGGAUGACCAGCCACACUGGAACUGAGAAACGGUCCAGACUCCGACGUGAGGCAGCAGUGGGGAAGAGUGCACAAUGGGGGCAAGCCUGAUGCAGCAAUGCCGCGGGUAUGAAGAAGGCCUUCGGGUUGUAAAGUACGUUCAGCGGGGAGGCGUUACCCGCAGAAGAAGCACCGGCUAACUCCGUGCCAGCCGCCGCGGUAAUAC
rnacentral:rRNA from 1 species